AAGUCGUUUUGUUCUGUAAAAGGGUUGGAUCCGACGCCUCUAGAAGGCUACUAUAGGCUCUCCUUCUUAACUCCUACUCAAUACGUCCACGUCGUGCAGAACGGUAACUUGUUGCUCAGAUCCAAGCUUGGGUACACGGGGAAACCCAACCCCUCGGGCGGAUGAGCGGCAAGGCAGAAUUGAGAGGU
rnacentral:ribozyme from 1 species